GAGUGAUAACACGAGCUCACCUGCACUUCUCAGAGGCAGGAAAGCCGGCGCUGGCGUGAGGAGCCCGCUGGCGUCCUUGUUCCCCCCACCCGCAGGCUAGGUGGCCUCCCCCAGCGGCCCCUCGUUCCGUUCCUGUAACUCUCACUUAGCACCUCGUCGGCUCCUGAGAGAUUUAGUUAUACGGUUACUUGAGGGCCUUACGUAUUUUCAGGAUGAGUUAGGUCUGAUAGAUCAGGAUUGACAGAUCAGCCAGUUUUUCCACUUAAUCGGUUCCUAUUGCAUUUCCAGCAGGUUGAGAAGGGGCAGCUGGUUUUGAUACUUGGGGAAACCGUCGUUUCUGAGUUGGCCUUGCAGAGCUGCUCGCCGGGAGCUCCGCGCUGGGAGGAGCCGGCCACUCCUGCUGAGCGCUUUGCCUGUGUGUCCUGGCGCCCAGUGGCAGGGCAGCGCGCUGCAGCUGGAGCUGGCCUGGGUGGGGACUUGCCUUCUUUCAAGCCAAAGAGCACUACUAGUUUUUGCUGGAGAGUUUAAAAACUGAUGUGAAAGAUAAUUUACUUUACAUUUUAAAUUUACUUGUCUGCGUUUUCAUAUUUUUUCAUUAAAGUGCACCUGAUAAA